rnacentral:rRNA from 1 species
GGUGUCUUCGGACGCCGGCAUACGGCUCAGUAACACGUAGGUAACCUACCCUCAGGACUGAGAUAACCCCGGGAAACUGGGGCUAAUAUUAGAUAGAUAAAAGAUACUGGAAUGUUCUUUUAUCCAAAGCUUUUGCGCCUGAGGAUGGGCCUGCGUCCGAUUAGGUUGUUGGUGGGGUAAUGGCCCAUCAAGCCUGCGAUCGGUACGGGCAGUGGGAGCUGAAGCCCGGAGUUGGGGACUGAGACAAGGCCCCAGGCCCUACGGGGCGCAGCAGGCGCGAAACCUCUGCAAUGCGGGAAACCGUGACAGGGGGAUCCCAAGUGCUCAUGCAUUGCAUGGGCUGUUCUUUGGUCUAAGUAACCAGAGGAGUAAGGGCUGGGCAAGACCGGUGCCAGCCGCCGCGGUAAUACCGGCAGCUCAAGUGGUAGCCGCGAUUAUUGGGCCUAAAACGUUCGUAGCCGGAUAAGUAAGUCUUUGGUUAAAUCCUGCGACUCAACCGUGGGAAUUCUAGAGAUACUGCUUGUCUUGAGACCGGGAGAGGUUGGAGGUACUCCUAGGGUAGGGGUGAAAUCCUGUAAUCCUAGGGGGACCACCUGUGGCGA